rnacentral:rRNA from 1 species
UGGGGAAUAUUGGGCAAUGGGCGCAAGCCUGACCCAGCCAUGCCGCGUGAGUGAUGAAGGCCUUCGGGUCGUAAAGCUCUGUGGGGAGGGAGAAACCUCCUUGGCUAAUAUCCAAGGAAGCUGACGGUACCUCCUUAGCAAGCACCGGCUAACUCCGUGCCAGCAGCCGCGGUAAUACGGAGGGUGCAAACGUUGCUCGGAAUCAUUGGGCGUAAAGCGCACGUAGGCGGUUCGUUAAGUCGGAUGUGAAAGCCCUGGGCUCAACCCAGGAAGAGCAUUCGAAACUGGCGGACUAGAGUAUGGAAGAGGGUCGCGGAAUUCCCGGUGUAGAGGUGAAAUUCGUAGAUAUCGGGAGGAACACCAGUGGCGAAGGCGGCGACCUGGGCCAAUACUGACGCUGAUGUGCGAAAGCGUGGGGAGCAAACAGGAUUAGAUACCCUGGUAGGUCCACGCCGUAACGAUGGAUGCUAGGUGUUGCGGGUAUUGACCCCUGCAGCG